GACGAACGCUGGCGGCGUGCUUAACACAUGCAAGUCGAGCGGUAAGGCCCUUUCGGGGGUACACGAGCGGCGAACGGGUGAGUAACACGUGGGUGACCUGCCCUCAGCUCUGGGAUAAGCCUGGGAAACCGGGUCUAAUACUGGAUAUAACUCCAUGACGCAUGUUGUGGGGUGGAAAGCCUUGUGCGGCUGAGGAUGGGCCCGCGGCCUAUCAGCUUGUUGGUGGGGUGAUGGCCUACCAAGGCGACGACGGGUAGCCGGCCUGAGAGGGCGACCGGCCACACUGGGACUGAGACACGGCCCAGACUCCUACGGGAGGCAGCAGUGGGGAAUCUUGCGCAAUGGGCGAAAGCCUGACGCAGCGACGCCGCGUGAGGGAUGACGGCCU
rnacentral:rRNA from 1 species